rnacentral:tmRNA from 1 species
GGGGAUGUUCUGGUUUUGACAGCACUGAUUCCGGAUGGUAAGCACGCCGGGCGUAGGAGGCUGGCCCGUUAAUCCCAGUCUUCAAGCCAUAACUGGCAACUACAAUUAUUCGUACGCUUGCUAAUCUCCAAGAGAUUGAGCAUUAAUCGAUACCGCCUAGGCUGCGGUACGACGUAUAUCCCUCCUGCUUUAGGCCGGUUCAGCCAGGAUCAAGGGGUAUCAUCAAAACCGGAUGCGCGGCUCAGACGCCUCUAAGGACCGCUAAGAUUUCAGAGGAUAAGCCCGAAGUGGCCUGCCUUCCGGCAGCUGCGGGCCGACAAACAAAGAAAGGAUAAGCGUGUAGAAAGCCACCUGGGGCUUUGUUUGGACGGCGGUUCGACUCCGCCCAUCUCCACAA